UACGUAGGGUGCAAGCGUUUAAUCGGGAAUUACUGGGGCGUAAAGCGUGCGCAGGCGGUUAUGCAAGACAGAUGUGAAAUCCCCCGGGCUCAACCUGGGGAACUGCAUUUUGUGACUGCAUGGGCUAGAGUACGGCAGAGGGGGGAUGGAAUUCCGCGUGUAGCAGUGAAAUGCGUAGAUAUGCGGAGGAACACCGAUGGCGAAGGCAAUCCCCUGGGCCUGUACUGACGCUCAUGCACGAAAGCGUGGGGAGCAAACAGG
rnacentral:rRNA from 1 species